AAAAAGUCAAACCUUGGGUUUCCGUGUCCAACUUUAACUAUCCGUCUUAUAUGAAAUUUUUUUUAUAAUUCGUAUUUUUAUUAUUGUUAGAUGAUAAAACAUGAUUAAUAUUUUAUACAUGACUUGUCUUUUUAAUUUUUUUCGUAAUUUUUUCAAAUAAGAUGAAUGGUCAAAUAUUGGACACGAAAACCAGGGUUUGUCUUUUU
rnacentral:pre_miRNA from 1 species